GGCAAGUUCCAGACCUGGGUUAGUCUGCCACCACCACCAAAACAAGUAUCCCUUUUCUUGUGGUUAAAGAAAAUCAUGAACAAAGCUACGUCACCAGAGGUGUGAGCGUGAAGAAGGUGCCUUUCACUGCUUGCACAAGGGGCUCCACGUUUCUCUUCCACACAAGCUCUUCAUGAAACUGCUUGUCACUGCUUCUUUCAAGUAUGAAGUUAUGUCUGUAAAGUGAGAUGGAUCAGAACAUCAAACUAUGAAGACAUCCCCAGUGCAAUAUAGUGUUUAGCAGGUCUCACUCGAGCAGUUUGAAUGUGCCCUUCAAUUGUACUAGCAAGAAUAAAUUGAAAAACAAAUCCAAUUAGAGUUGCCCACUUCAAAGAUCCCCUCCAAAAGACCUGCACCUGAAAUGCUCCAGGAUUCAGACUGUCCCAAGUGCAAAAGGGAAAGGAGGAUCCAGAACAAGUAUGACACAUUAAUUUUGCAGUCCAGAAGAGACGGGGAGGCCUUGGAGAAAAGGAUAGUGGAACUGGAAGCUGAAAUGAAAGACCACAAAGAACAUAGGCUACCUCUUGGACGAAAGAAUAGAGAGAUCUGCUUUCUUAAGGGUUUUACUUUGAACUAGCUCCCACUGGUGGCCGGGAUGCAUCUUUCAAUUGAUUUGAUCCUAAAGGAAUCCAAUUUGCGUGUUUCAAGACUGCUUGGUGAUGUGAAGCACAGCGCAGGACGCGGGGACAGGAAGAUUUGUAAUAGAUACUUCUCCACACCCAAACUGAGAUGCUGAUGUAGAGGUACCAUUUAAUUAUUUUUUUUUAAUGUUUUUAAAAGUUUUUCUGCCUCUUUCAUAUGCUUCAAAAACUUGAAGGUCAAUUUAGUUCUCCUGAAGGAUGGCUGGUGGCCGUUGUUCAGCGGGUGGCCUGCAGGUGUUCAGCAGGCUGGCGUCACAGCCUGUGCUGCCAGCGCUUUCCAGGCCUGUCUUGUGAAGGCUCCACGAGCUCUGAGGGCAGCCUUCCAGCCCAGGGAGGCUGCUAACCCAGCCUGUGAAGCACGAUGCAAACAGUUUAGCGUGUGCAUGCUUUGUGCCUUCUUGCCUCACUGCCUGUCUCGGGCAGAAGCUGGAUUUCUGGGAGAUGAUUAAUAUCACUCUCUUUCUCCCCCUCCAAAUGCCCUAGAUAGUACUGCUGCAUUUGCUGCAACAUCUUUCUGCCCAGUAAUCUCAUUUAGUACUGGGCAUGUAGAUGAAUAUUAUUGUACUUCAUGAAUGGAGAAGCUAGAAAGCCACUGUCCUACAAUCCAGCAGUGGGUCAGAAAGAAGUCUGAAUAUUUUUUUUUUUUUUCUGCGUAGUAGACUCUGUGAAUAGUCCCUCCACUCAUUCCUUUAGGCUUUGUGUGCCAGGCCCUAUUACUAUACAGGAAAUUCAGAACACUUACACGUCUCUUCUUUUCCACAUAGCUAUUAGAUGCAGUCUUGAGAAGGAAAGAACAAUAGAAAAGGAGAACGUUUAAAAUCCUAAAACACUCUUAAUGUCUGGCAGUUAGACAAUAUUAAUUAUACAUGUACCUGUGUAUUUAGAAACUCAAUAAAACUCUCUUUUGUUUCUAAAUGAGCCAGAACAGCUUGUUUUGUAAAAGCCAUUUUCUAUCUAUAGACAGGUAUCAGUUCCCUUAUUGAUGGGACCGAUUGCUUCCUGUGCUAAUGCAUCUACUAUCCUGCACCUCCUCGUAAGGUGGCUCUGACAUAACUCAUGCACCUCUUUGGUACAGCGGAUUAAGAAAACUGUUUUGUUCACAGUGCUGUCAGUGUAGAGCAACUGCACGUGGGCACUUUGAAACAAAGUUGGUUUCAUCACCCUAAGAGUCCCCUGAUAUCGGUUCAUUUCAAUAGCACACCGCUCUGUUCUGUUUUUUCUGUGGGCCAAAUAUAUUGCGAGAAUGAAGGCAGUCUGUCUUGGAUGUUCACCAGUGUUAUUUUUGCCUCCAACCACAAAUUUCAUUUGUUCAGAAGCUGAUGAGCUUUGUGUCUUUGCGGUGACCCACACACGAGGAUGAAGGCAACGCCCUUCUUGUCUACAAAGCAUUUGCCAGAACUGAUAAUGCCUCUAAACAGCCAGCAGGAAUUCACGUGCAGAUCAACUCCAAUCUUCAUGUUGCUGCUGUUCCUGAAGAGAAUGGUUUGAUUGAUUGGGCUGUCAGUCUUGUUUUUUUCUCUUUUAGAUACAGACUUACAAUUUUAUAUUUUAAAGGAAUUUUGAGGUUUGAAGAUACUCUUAAGGCUUUGCAGCAGGAAGAUGCAGCAUCGUAGUGUUAAGAUACAGGAAAUGAGUAUACCUCAUGGUCAGAGUAUUCCCCUACAGCCCUGGGGAAUAGGGAAGUUGGGAAGGAAUCCUAAUAGAGAGAAGAAAGACUUUGUACAGAAGGACAGUCUCCAGUGGCCUGCAGUUGAGAGAUGUAGAGAACCGUGGACACGACUGUCCUGCGUAUCGGGAGAAAGACAGGUCUCUUUUGUAUGCUGCACAGCUGGAAAAGGGGAAUCACGCAGCCUUAUGGCAUGAUGCAUGCUGCGUUUGCCAACUUCUUUCUUCAGAAUGUAAUUAGACUUGGGCGAGGAAUAGGGAGACAAAAGACAGGAUUUCAUUAAUAUUAAUGGACUUGCUAUAGGAGAGUUCUUCUCGUUGACAAGAUAAUGCACAGCUUUAGCAUAGCCUAUUUCUUCAGCUGGCAAGGAUUCCGGAAUCCUCCUUGUGGAAAAUGUCCAGCUAUAAUGUUGUUUUUCAGUGUUCAAAAUGACUCCAGAGGGAGAUGUGGGUGAAAUCCUGCUCCCUGUUUCAGUCAGUGGCAAAGCAGCCACUUCCCUUACUGACCAGGCCUUCCAUCCUAAUUUUCCCAGUAUGUGCUCAGCCUCUUAAAGCUGAGCAGAGAACAUUUAAGCUUUAGUUCAGAGUGAACAUGGAGCUCGUGAAGUCUUUUCUCCCUACCAAGGUCAGCUCAUUAAUCAAAAUGGAGGACUCGAGCCUGUCUGGAAGGAGCUCAGGAUGGAAAGGAGAUGCGAGCCCAGAGGACCAACGUGAAGCACAGCAAGCUGUUUCUUCAGAUGGAGGAGUUAAAAAGUCAAAGCUCAAAAGGACAAAAAACAAAGGGAAAAGGAAAAAAAAAAAUUGAUUCUGGAUAAUGAGAAGGUGCUUAUCAGAGGAAAUGUGGUUGUGUUGAUGCACGCAUGCCAGUGUACAGCAGUUUUCUUCCCACUUCUUAUGCUUGCUCUGAAGCAAUUUAACUUUGAAAUAUAUACGGGAAAGGUGGCUUUUUGCUUGUUUUCUGUGUUGGGGAAGAUGAAAAAGGAUGAAGGGACAGAUGUGGCACCCUUGAAGUUGUUGGGGGACAGAGUUUUCCUUAAUGUCCAUUGCCAUUGGAUAGAGAGAGACAGCUUCUGAGUUUUAUGCAAUGGCAAAUAACUGAUGUGAUCUUGUGGAGUUCCCUUUAUGAAAGAAGCAAACAAAUUCUGUAUGAACUUUGUAUCUGUUACAGCAUUAAAAAAAAUACCGUGGUGUUGGUAAUGAAGAUGUAUUAUUCUUCCUGGCAAAACACUGCAGGAAGUGGUUAAGACAUCCUAACACUUCACUGCUCUCCGGGGCUGUGAGGGUGCAGGUCACAGCACUGCUCUGUGAUUAGAGGGAGUGGGACCAUUUUUUUUUCCUCUAGCAAGUGAAAUCCUGAGAACUGAAUCCUUGCAGUUCAUGUAAAGUCAAAGGUAGGCUUCUUGCUGGGAAUAAGAUAGCUUGAAAAUGAGCAGCUGAGUGCUUUUCUGCCACAUUAUCCCUCUUUCAUCGGGCUGGGAUCAGGGCCUCAUCAGCAGUUAUUCACUGAACCGUUGCACCAUGGAGGACUUGGAGAGCUGAGAUGUUCCAACCAAGUGACCUUCACUUUCAUCAUCUCCAGUGCUGCAGGUGUUGUCAGAACUUUGCUCUAAGAAAGCAUAUUCCCCCAGUUAAUCUCUUAUUAAGUCCCUUGAAAUCUGUGGUGUUGUCCCUGGCAUGCAGUGAAAACAGAGCACCAGCUGCUGUAGUACAUUUGUCCUCAGGUUUCCUGAGUCGAAGUGCAACGAGAUAUGGCCUAAAAUGAACCAUUGUUUUAACAAUGACAUAGCUAUUUCC